GCAGCUCGUUUUACAACACUGACCAGGGCCUACGCGGCAGGAGGGGUCUGCAGACACGCAACAGGAAAUGCGCUUCCGCUCUCACUCAUAGAAUGACCCAGUCAUUGCAGGUGCUACUUUGCCCACUAAGUAGAAGUCUUGGAAACGUCCGUGUUUGGUAUAGAAUCUGCAAUGUCUCCUCUUUGUUAUGUUGGCGGGUCUGCAAAAGUUAAUCCUACUGAGAAAGUGUUUUGUUCUUUAAGAAGAUUACUAACUUAUCAGCUCGUAAAAUUAGCUGAAGUCUUGGGUGACGUCUGAGGUCUCCACCGGAGACCGGCCCGUUAUGGCUUACGCUGUUCCUUCGGGGAUUUUUAGUCGACUGCUUGCUUGUUGUCUUUGUUAUUGUGGGCUGUGAUAACGAAUUGAGUUGUGAUUAUGAAGUGAGUUGUGAG